GACGAACGCUGGCGGCGGGCCUAACACAUGCAAGUCGAACGGAAAGGCCCUGCGUUUGUGGGGUGAUCGAGUGGCGAACGGGUGAGUAACACGUGAGUAACCGGCCCUUGACUUUGGGAUAACUUCAGGAAACGGGGGCUAAUACCGGAUAGGAGCUCCUGCAGCAUGGUGGGGGGUGGAAAGUUGAGGCGGUUGGGGAUGGACUCGCGGCUGAUCAGCUUGUUGGUGGGGGAGUGGCUUACCAAGGCAGGGACGGGUAGCCCGCCUGAGAGGGUGACCGGGCACCUGGGGACUACGAGACGGCGCAGAGUCCUACGUGGGGCAGCGGUCGCAAAUAUUGCACAGUGGGCGGGAGCCUGAUGCGGCAACGCCGCGGUCGUGAUGACGGCCUUCGGGUUGUAAACCGCUUUCGCCUGUUACGCCGCGUGAGUGACGGUAAUGAGUAAAGAAGCACCGGCUAACUACGUG
rnacentral:rRNA from 1 species